rnacentral:lncRNA from 10 species
GAGAUGACAUCUCUUCAGGAUGGUGUAGAGACGUGGGCGGAGUGUGCAGGGCUGGCGUGCAAGGGGUGGGGACACGUUGCAUCCAUGGUGCUGUUUGUGCAGGUGGCCUCCAGGAGGGCAGUUUCCAGAGAUGAAUUUCCUUCCCCUUGCCCAGCCCACCACUGCCCAGCCCUGUGGGCUCUGAGGCUGACGGAGAGAGACCUGGUAGGUCACCUCGUCCCUUGUCCCUGGGAAACUCCAUGUUACCAGCAUGUUAUCAGCAUGGCUCCGAAUCCUAUAUCCACCCUCCAGCCACACCCCGGGACACUCUGGAUCGAAGCCACCCAGCGUCAGAGCUUGGACGAUCAAGGUGGACCUACCCGCUCAGAAAGACAGUGGCGCUUCUGUCAAGGGAGACCUCAACGACCUUCCUCUGAAAAGAAAAAUGUCCUUGCAAGUAGGUAAAUGA